rnacentral:lncRNA from 1 species
GGACAGUCUGUCUUGUUAAACACAAUCAUUUCAGGAUCCUCUCCACAUCCGACCCUGGCGGGCUACUCAGUGCACGGAGGCAAUGCCGUCUUAUGACUUUGGAGGGGAGCUCAUGGAGCCAGCUCUGUGCACACUGACACCUGCUAAGACACUGUUGUCCUUAUCAAGACCACUUUCCACUGAGAUGUCCCUAUGUGAUGGUUGAGCAACCCUUCAGAAUGCACACAAGAACCAAGCCGUUGUUUCUUCAAGAGAGAUCACUGAAGGCAGCCAGAAGUGAAGACUGGAAAGGCUGAGGGAAGGCUGAUUCUUGGUGGAAUGGUGGUUGUCUUCCUGGUAACCAGAGCUGGAUCUGGGAGAGCUGCGGCACGCUGUUCAAUGUGUUAGUUUGCGCCUGCUGCAUGACAAACCACCUCGGAAGUCCAUGGCAUACAAGCAGCAGCAUACGUUAUCACGCUCACAGUCGUACAGACCAGCUGGGGCACCUGUGCAUCAGGCUGCGGAAGGCUGGGGUGUGCUCUGCUCUACUUUCCUUUAUUCUUCUGGGACCUGUGAGCUAACUUGGGCAUGUUCUUCUCAUGGGAGUGGCAGAAAUGAAAGAGGGGUGAGCAGAAACUCAGUGAGCAGCUCAGAACUGGUACCCCGUCACCUCCACCCACAUUCCAUCGGCCAAAGCAAUUCCAUGGCCAAGCCCAAUAACAGUAGACUGUGGACAUAUUCUCCACCUUGCAUGGAAGGAACUGCUGAGUCACUUGGCAACGUGUAUGGAUUCAGGGAGGAGUCGAUGGGGACAAUGAUAGAACUGCUACUCCAGUUUGGGCACUUUCUAUUGAAUCCUGGUAGCCAUGGAAGACUGCAUCUCUUGAGUUGCUACUGAUAGGAAGGAAAGACUGGCUGAUGUCUCUUAAUGAUAGUAUGGAAAUCCUUUUGAAAGUUUAGUUUAGAAACUAAGUUUCAUAAUGACCAGGACAAUGUACGUCUAGUUCACCUCCUGUGUUCAGUAAACACUUCUUGAUCCAAUGAUUAAAUGGUGAAAGAAUAUUAUAUGUGUA